AAGUAAAAGUCGUAACAAGGUAACCGUAGGUGAACCUGCGGUUGGAUCAUUACUGAUUCGUAAAAUGCUUUGUGUAAUGUGUUUGGUUCCCUUUUUUUUCUUUGGUUUCAGGAGGGAAGAGAGUCUUGUACUUUUUUUUUUUCUUGAGAUUGAGGGAAAGGGGGCCACCGCUCACAAGACUAAAGCCGUUUACCAUCCUGUUUGCUUUGUAUUGUUGUCAGCUUCUGAGAUGAGGAAGGACCGCCCGUUAAAAGGCUUGUGUCCAACCGAGUUUCGUUGGUCUUCAAUGUGCAAGGACCCUGUUGGAGUUUUGGAUCUUUUACUCGGAGUUUUGUGAACUUUUUUUUUGUUUACAAUUCGAAGAUGGGUUUGAGAGACACCUGGCAGGGGAGUAUAACGCCUACAAGUUAUAUAAAAAAACUAUGGCGGCCUAAUCAGUCGUUUAAGCAUUUAACCCCAGUCGUCAAUGACGUUUCAUUUUCGAAAUGUGUAAUUGAAAACCAAAUACAACUUUAGACAAUGGAUCUCUUGGCUCACGCAUCGAUGAAGAACGUAGC
rnacentral:misc_RNA from 1 species